rnacentral:lncRNA from 1 species
CUUUACUUGGGCGGGUCUUGCUGCAGCUGCUGUGGAGAAUGGGGGUAAGAUUCCUAGGUCACUGGAAUUGUGUACCUAAGAUGAUUAUGGCUACCUCUGCUGAGUCAUGCAGGUUGUCAGGGAAGUGGGGGAAAGCCAGCAGUUACAGGCCUCAGCCAGCUCCCACACAAACCGAAGGGCCUGUCUCACUUCUAACAUGUCCACGGCUCCCCAACAGCCCUGAGUAUGUUUACAGGUGGAGGGCGAGAGGGGCUUGAAACUUGCCUGAGGCUCUCCGCCUCCCAGCUGCCAAAGAAAGGGCUUUAGUUCCCUGCCCCCCACCCCCGCCCCUUCCGCCGCCUGUGAAGGGACCCACCGAGCUCCCAGGGCCUUUCUGCUGCUUCCUCUACCCCUGUAUUUUGCUCGGCUCUGUAACUUGACUCAGCUUCAGGUCACAUGGAAUCUACACAUGGAAGGACAUAGGCAUUGCAUGCAGGUAUCCGGAAUCAUUGAUAUUGGUCUUAAAAUUUGGAAGUUUCCACUUUUGCUAAGACUGCCAUUUAUAAUGAGCCCUACGGAGAGGCCAUGUGGCAAGAAGCUGAGGCUGCCAGAGGGAACCUGAGGCCUGCCAGCAACCACAUACAUGAGUUUGGAAGUUAAUUCUUCAGCUUCCUUUGAGUCUUGAGGUAGCUACAGCCUGGCCAGAACUUGACUAAACUUCAUAAGGGACACUGAGCCAGAAACACCUAACUAAGCAAAUUCUGGUUUUAUGACCUUCAGAAAUUGUGUGAAAUAAUAAAUAUUUGUUGUUUUCAUUAUUCACCAUAGCAAAGUCAUGGAAUCAACCUAGGUGCCCAUCAACAGUGGAUUGGAUAAAAAAGGUGCACAUAUAACGCAUGGAAUACUAUGCAACCAUAAAAAAGAAUGAAACCACAUCCUUUGCAGCAACAUAGUUACAGCUAUAGAGCAUAAUCCUAAGCAAAUUAACACAGGAACAGAAAAGCAAAUAUUGCCUGUUCUCACUUAUAAGUGGGAGCUAAACAUUGGGUAUACAUGGACAUAAAGAUGGAAACAAUAGAUGAUGAGGACUCCGAAAUGGGGAAAGAACUGGAGUAACGGUUGAAAACCUACCUGUUGGGUACUAUGUUCACUAUUUGGGUAACAGAUUCAGUAGAAGCCCAAACCCUAGCAUUAUGCAAUGCACCCAUGUAACAAACCUGCACAUGUACCCACUGAAUCUAAAAUAAACUGUAUUUGUUGUUGUAAGAUGCUAAAGUUUGGGAUAAGUUGUUCUGCAACAAUAGGAGUGUGUGUGUGUGUGUGUGUGUGUGUGUGUGUGUGUGUAGAGAGAGAGAGAGAGAUACAGAAAGACAGAAGAAAAGAAUAUUUUUGGCAAGUAAAACUUGCAUAUUAAUGAAAAGAAAGGAUAUUUUUGAUAAAGUAAAUUCUAAAAUACAAUAUAUAAACUAAUACAUAUAUCUGUUUGGAUUUAAUAGAUCAGAGACCAUUGUAAAAACAGUGUGCCUAUUGCAUAAAUAUCCCUAAUAAAAAACUCACAAUUCUGUAAUAAAAUUAUUAUAUAUUUUAAUUUUGAAAGAUGUUUCAAGGCUGAACUAUCCAGAUGAAAGAGGUGAAAUCCACAUAAUUAUGCUUGAAAGCAUAUGGUUUUAAUUUUUAUAUUUUUGUAAUUAAGUGAAGAAAUUAAGGGGCAUUGAAGAUUUCACCUCUAAGCAGCUCACAGUUUUCCUAAGCUUGGACUAGGUGACAACUCUCUCAAUCUCACUCAAAACAUAUUUUAGUAUAAAUUAAGGUUAAUCUGUGAAUAGAUGUCAAUAACAUUUUCCUAUUAAAUAAAUACAAAUACCUUGACUUUAAGAUACAAAAAAACUACUUGUCAUUUAGUAUUUUGUAUUUUUAACUUGCCAGAUUUAUGUCAUAAUAUAAAUGCCAGAAUUUUGUCUAGGUGAAAUAAGAAUCAUCUGAAACACAUUCAUUAUUAUUUCAUCAGAAUAAGCUUGAAUUAUGUUUUUGUAUAUUUCAGUAAAAUUAUGAUGAGAAAACAAACUAUAAAGGCCAAAAUAUUUCUAUUGCUUACUCAUUAAAAUGUUUUUAAAGAUUCAACAU